rnacentral:lncRNA from 1 species
UUGCUUCUGAUGGGUCUAUUGGGAACAAAGCACGCUGCAUUAGCUGCACCGUUUCUCAUUGCUUUGCCUGUGCUUACCAUCGGUUUCCACCACUUCUGCAAAGGUCGUUAUGAGCCAGCCUUCAUCAGAUACCCUUUACAGGUUUGUUGUUUCUUCUAACAACAAUUUCUCAUUUGGUCAUUUUAUAUGUUCAAUAUGAAUCAUUCUUGUAUUUGUGUCCUUGUAUGUUACAGGAAGCAAUGAUGAAAGAUACAUUGGAAAGCGCAAGAGAACCAAACCUGAACCUUAAAGGCUACUUGCAAAAUGCUUACAUUCAUCCGGUUUUUAAAGGCGAUGAAGACGAUGAUGACAUUGAUGACAAGCUCGGGAAGUUUGAGGAUGAAGCCAUCAUUGUUCCCACCA